rnacentral:rRNA from 1 species
GAUGAACGCUAGCGGCAGGCUUAACACAUGCAAGUCGAACGGUAAGGUCUCUUCGGAGACACACGAGUGGCGAACGGGUGCGUAACGCGUAUGCAACCUACCUUUAACAGAGAGAUAGCCCUGAGAAAUUGGGAUUAAUAUCACAUAAUAUCAUAAUGCGACCUUGUAUAAUGAUUAAAGCUCCGGCGGUUAAAGAUGGGCAUGCGUGACAUUAGCUAGUUGGUAAGGUAACGGCUUACCAAGGCGAUGAUGUCUAGGGGUUCUGAGAGGAUUAUCCCCCACACUGGUACUGAGACACGGACCAGACUCCUACGGGAGCAGCAGUGAGGAAUAUUGGUCAAUGGACGCAAGUCUGAACCAGCCAUGCCGCGUGCAGGAAGACGGCCCUAUGGGUUGUAAACUGCUUUUUANAUACCAAGAAACGUAGGGACGUGUCCCUGCCUGACGGUAGUAUAUGAAUAAGGAUCGGCUAACUCCGUGCCAGCAGCCG